AAGUUUCUUGAUCUCACUGGAAUGCUAGCUCCCUUGCAGAGAUCGCAUCUUGACGGUUGACGAAGAUUCUUCUUUUCUUUCAAGAUCCUCUUAGAGAAGAAGAAGAAAAAGAGGAUGAAGAUCUCUACACUAGAGAUCUAGAAAAGAACUUUCCUUUUUUUCUUCCAUAUACAAGAGAACUCUUUCUCUUGAUUUCCACACCUUCAUGGAGGAACUCUUCCUCUCAAUUUCUCAUGCACAUAAGGAAGACUCUUCUUCCUUUUCUUUUCUCCAUGAGGAAGACAUUCUUCCUCUUCUUUUCCACGCCUAGAAGGAAUCCUUCCUUCUAAGAACUUGACGCCACA
rnacentral:lncRNA from 1 species